CCUACGGGGGGCAGCAGUGAGGAAUAUUGGUCAAUGGACGAGAGUCUGAACCAGCCCAGUAGCGUGAAGGAUGACUGCCCUAUGGGUUGUAAACUUCUUUUAUAUGGGAAUAAAACGUUCCACGUGUGGGAUUUUGUAUGUACCAUAUGAAUAAGGAUCGGCUAACUCCGUGCCAGCAGCCGCGGUAAUACGGAGGAUCCGAGCGUUAUCCGGAUUUAUUGGGUUUAAAGGGAGCGUAGGUGGAUUGGUAAGUCAGUUGUGAAAGUUUGCGGCUCAACCGUAAAAUUGCAGUUGAAACUGGCAGUCUUGAGUACAGUAGAGGUGGGCGGAAUUCGUGGUGUAGCGGUGAAAUGCUUAGAUAUCACGAAGAACUCCGAUUGCGAAGGCAGUUCACUGGACUGCAACUGACACUGAGGCUCGAAAGUGUGGGUAUCAAACAGGAUUAGAUACCCUUGUAGUC
rnacentral:rRNA from 1 species